CCCCGCGGAGCGGCCUCCGAGCGCCGAGCGGCCCUCAGGGCGCGGGCUGCUGCCGCCCGGCCCCGCGCUGCCGGCCCCGGCCCUGCGCCGCGCUGCCCGCGCCUCCCAUCGCUGGAUGUGUCCCGCGCUCGGAUGUAAACCGCACUUAUAUACGUACACACUCCCCUUACAUUGACAUAUUGGAUAUUUAAAUGCAAGCCACACCUCACUGGCAUCCCCUUUGGCUAUGGGUUGUGGGUUUUUUUUUUCCUUCUUCUCGAUCCACUUGUGGUUGGCUUUUUUUUUUUUUUUUUUUUUUAAGCUUNGCGAGUCUGUCCGCAGCGAGUCCUCUGUCAGACAGCCUCCUCCGCAUCAGAGGGUUUCUCCCCUCACGGGUCUCCCGACAGCAAGUAGCUGACCUCAGGAAGCCUCGCCCCUCUGCGGGUCUCUUCCCCUCAGAGGGUCUCUCCCCUCAGUUUACGUCCUUUUGACCCCUCACGAGUGUCUCUCCUGUCUCUGUGGGUCUUUCCCUUCAGCGUUGAGUUCCCUUCAGGAGGACUCGCUCCUUUGUAAGUCUCUUCCCCUCAGCGGGGCUGUUCUCUCCACUCACGGGUUGCCCCUCAGCCAGCUUCCCUCUCCUCAGGGGUUGCUCUCCUCGGGACGAUUCAGCCCUCCGCAGGUCUCUUCUCCUCAGUGGGUCUGUUCCCUCACAAGUCACCCCUAUGGUGGGUCUCCCCUCAGCAGGCAGCUCCAUUCAUGAGGACUCACCCCUCUGUAGGUCUUCUUCCCAUCAGCAGUGUUCCCCUCAGCAGUCUGUCCCCUUACGGGUCUCACUUCAAGGGAUCUCUUCCCCCUCAGAGAGUCUCUCCUCUCAGGAGGUCUCGCCCCAAAGCUGCCGUUCCCCACAUCUGCCCCAGGGCAGUGGGAGAAAGGGCCAUGACAUACAGCCCCCUUUUCCCACAGGCCCGGGCAGUUCUCUGUUGUGAAGACCUGAAGGAAACUGUGAUAUUACCACAUGGAGUAUCCACACGUGCAUCUGCAGAGGCUGUAUCCACAACAUCUGAAAAUGUGCUCAGGAUUGAAGAGAGGAAUAUACUACGGAUAUGUAGAGAAGAAUAGUCACAUGUUCUGCACUGUUCUCAUUCUCCUAAAAAUUGCUAAUGGGAUGCCUUUUUCAUACCUUCUGACUCCAUACUGAUGUUUUCAGAGAACUAGCCACCUCUCCAGGAUUUUUUUGAGGAUUAGUAAUAGCUGAUUUAAAGAACAGUGAGGGUGGCUCUUGCCUCAUGCUUUUUUUAAAUGGUCUUUGAAUAAAUUUACUCUCAAACACUCACUGAAUAAAUCUUAAACUUCAUUUUUGGGAAUUACUUUUGUAUUGUCAGCAACCUGCCUACAUUUCCAGAUCAUUUAUGGCAUAUAAAGCAGCAGUAGUCACCUCGUAGGCCGUAUUCGGAGUCCAGUGGGGAGCUCCAUACAUCAGUGAUGUCAAACAUCUAUUUCUCUUGGCUAUGAUCUUCUCACCAGUUAUGAUGUCACUUCUUCUGUCUGUCUAUCUUUC
rnacentral:lncRNA from 1 species